CAGUCGCCGCGGGAAUACGGAGGGGGCUAGCGUUGUUCGGAAUUACUGGGCGUAAAGCGCACGUAGGCUGCUUUGUAAGUUAGAGGUGAAAGCCUGGUGCUCAACACCAGAACUGCCUUUAAGACUGCAUCGCUUGAACGUCGGAGAGGUGAGUGGAAUUCCGAGUGUAGAGGUGAAAUUCGUAGAUAUUCGGAAGAACACCAGUGGCGAAGGCGGCUCACUGGACGACUGUUGACGCUGAGGUACGAAAGCGUGGGGAGCAAACAGGAUUAGAUACCCCCGUAGUCCCUGUCUCUUAUAC
rnacentral:rRNA from 1 species